UCCGACGUAGCUCAGUGGUAGAGCAGCAGACGUUAAUCUGCGGGCCGAAGGUUCGAACCCUUCCGUCGGAGCCA
rnacentral:tRNA from 1 species